UCCGUCUCAGGGUCGCAUCUGGAGAGUUUCCAGUCCUCUACCAGUCUCGGCUUUGGGAGGGAGAAUCAAGCAGAGGCCUUCCCAUUCCAUUCUUAGCUUGGGCGGUGGCUAGCGAGUGGAAGGCAAUAUGCUACAAGU